CGGUGCACACGCCAGGUUCGGUUGAGGAAUUGUGACCGGGCAGCGCUGUUUGAUAGAUAGAAAGGCACUCGACAAUAUAGAUGUCAAGAUGGAUAGAGUUGAUCAGAUUGACUUAGAUAAGAUCAUUAAACAUUUGGAUAAGAUGUCUGGCAGUUUGGAAAAGCUGGCAGUGAAGACUCAGCUGUUGCAGUGCAAUCUGAUUGUGUGCUUUGGCCACCCAGACAAGACGGAGGCACUGAAAAGAAAGGAGGAGGGCUACAUCCAUCCCAGGA